GCCGUCUUAGCUCAGUUGGCAGAGCAACUGCCUUGUAAGCAGUAGGUCGUAGGUUCAAAUCCUAUAGACGGCACCA
rnacentral:tRNA from 1 species